UGAUCUGCUCAAUGAUUAAAUUAAAUAGCUGCAGUAUUUUAACUGUACAAAGGUAGCAUAAUCAUUUGUCUUUUUAUUAAAGUCUGGAAUGAAUGAUUUAAUGAAAAAAUUUCUGUCUCAAUUUAAUUAAUAAAAUUUUAUUUUAAGUUAAAAUUCUUAAAAUUUAUUUAAAGACGAGAAGACCCUAUAGAAUUUUAUAAAAUUUUUUAUUAUUAUUUUAUAAAUUAAUAAAAUUAAAUAAAAUUUUAUUUUAUUGGGGUAAUAAAAAAAUUUAAUUAAAUUUUUUUAAAAAAUUUCAUAUAUUUAUGUUUAAAAUUUAUCCAAAAUUUUUGAAAUAAAAAUUAAUUACCUUAGGGAUAACAGCGUUAUUUUUUUUGAAAGUUCUUAUUGAUAAAAAAGUUUGCGACCUCGAUGUUGAAUUAAGAUAAAAUUUUAAUGUAGAAAUUAAAAAU
rnacentral:rRNA from 1 species